UUCAGGUGACUUUGUGGGGGUUUUUGGCCCAGCACCGGGUCUUGGUUGCAGCGUGUGGGAUCUAGUUCCCCUACCAGGGAUCGAACCCAGGCCCCCUGCAUCGGGAGCUCAGAGUCUUAGCCACUGGGCCUCCAGGGAAGUCCCCCCGGGUUCACACUUUUCACGUGAAGGCACGGCCGCAGGUGUAAGCUGUGAGGAGAGUUGCACAAGCCAGCCCCAGCGAGGCCGCCCUAAUGCUCAGAUUCACAGGAGCUGGAGGAGCCUGGGAGCCGGAGGGCGAGGGGGUGGGGCGAGGGUGCGAGGGGGUGGGGCGAGGGUGCGAGGGGGUGGGGCGAGGGUGCGAGGGGGUGGGGCGAGGGUGCGGCGGGAUCAGGCCCACCCCCCAUCCCCGCCCCAGUUACCCUACCAUCGGGCCCCCGCCCGCGGGGACCCCUGACGCCCCUCCUCCGGCCUGAGUGACAAGCAGGAGCGAGCUCUUCACACGAGAGCAGGGAGAGAGAAGAAAUCCGGGGGAAUCGGAAAUCUCUGAAUGAAUAGCGCUUUGUUCGUCCGGCACACAAUCCCGAGCCGGCCGGGCGGGAGGGCGGGCCGAGCAGGGGCCGCGGCCUCCCAGCCCGGAUUCCGCGGGCCACCCGCGCGCCUCCCGCCCCUGAGAAAGCGCUUUGUACACGAAAUCUCUAUGCAAAUGUUGUUUUAUGAUCACUACACCACCCCUGCCCCCAGGCCCGGGACGUCUGCAGAAGCUCUCAAAGGAGCACUUGAGGACUCUAACACGGGCCGGCCUCCACCUCCCGCCGCUCUGGCCCCCCGCGGCCUUCCCCCUCCACCAGGCUGAGGUCGCAGCGUUGCGGAGGAAUGGGCGCCCGCAACCCAGGCGCCCUCCUUGCUGGACAGAGCGGGCAAGGCCGGCAGCACCCGACAGGCCCGCAGCUGGGCCAACACGACGGAGCCUGCUGGCUUUUGUUUCCGCGUGGCCUUCGCUCCCCGAGUGCCCGUGGGGAGCUCGUUCAAGGUGCUGUCACACACACAGCACCCUGGAGAACGGAGUGUCAGGAGACCACUUCGCGGAUGGUACAAAAUAAUAAUUACAGUCCUGGAGACGUCUUUGGGGGCGCCUCCCAGCACCUUGGUGGCCCAAGAAGACUUCAUCAUAAGGGCUGACGAGGAGACCGCUCCCUCAUCCACCCCCGCCCCACCCCACCCCCGCCGCCAAGGCCCCCCACCGCCCCCCACCCCCAGAAGGUGCGUGCAGGGCGACGUCGGUGGGUUCCCUCCUCCUCUGCCUUGCCGUCGGCAGCGCGGCGUGAGUGACAGCACCCUGCUCGCAGGAUGUGGGCUUCUCCGAAUCCCUCCGGGAGUGGGCUGCCUGGUCUCCUCCAGGAGGUUCCAAGUCCUCACCUCGCCUGCCUGUGGCUGUGACCUUAUUUGGAAACUGGGUCUCCGCAGACACAGACGCAAUUAAAUUAAAGAUCUCAAGGUGAGAUCAUCCUGGAAUUCAGGUGACUCCUAAACACAAUGACGGGUGUCCUUACAAGAGAAUAGAAGGCGACUGGAGACGCUGAGAUGCAGAAGAGCCCCACAGAAGGAGCCUCGCGAAGCCGGGAAGAGACUGGAGGCACCCGAGGGACCCCACGGAGGCCGCCCCUACUGGAAGCCAGGAGCGGACCAGGGGCUCCUCCCGCAGGGGCUCCGGAAGGAACCAACCUGUGAACCUUCAGGUGUGCGCCAGGUGUGCCCAGCCGUGUCCGACUCUUCGCGCCCCCUUGGACUGUAGCCGGCUGGGCUCCUCUGUCCAUCUCCAGGCAAGAGUGGGUUGCCAUGUCCUCCUCCAGGGGAUCUUCCCCACCCAGGGAUCAAACCUGCAUCCUUGGCAUCUCCUGCAUUGGCAGGGGGUUCUUUAUCACUGCACCACCUGGGAAGCGCUUUGACACCUCGGUAGUGAGAGUGAAUUUCUGUUGCUUUAAGCCACCGCCUCUGUGUCCAUUUGUUACAGCAGCUUCAGGAAACAUCUUCCCACCUGGAGACCGAGCUUCCACAAGUCCCCGCCCUUUCUACAGAGGCGCAAAUAAGCAUGUAGACAAGUCGGGCGAUUGGCAAGGUCCCACAGCUCACGAGCAUCAGAGCUGGGAGCUGGGGGGACUUCUCUGGUGGUCCAGAGGUUAAGACUCAGCACUUCCACUGCAGGGGACAUGACUUCAAUCACUGGUCAGGAACAAAGAUCCCGCAUGCCACGCAGCCAAGAAAAAAGUAAAGAAAAACUUGGACAUGACCUAAAUACCCAUCAAUUAGUCUGCCUGGUUAAAUAAAUUAUUUAAAA